rnacentral:lncRNA from 1 species
CCUAAGAAGCACAACAGAAAAAGCAAAGAAAAUCAAAACCAAAGAAGAACAAAUAUAAUACAAAGCUUUAGCAAAGAACAUUAGCAAGAGGAGAGAGAAAAGCAUACCCUUUUCUUUCUCUCUCUAUUCGGUAUCCGAAGGUAAGUGUGUGGUGUCAAUGGGUAAUGGUUCAGUGGGUAUUUGUAAAGAUUCAGUAGGUAAUUGUAAAGGUUCAGUAGGUAAUUGUAAAGGUUCAGUAGGUAAUUGUGAAGAAGCAGCAUCAGCAGUUUCAGAUUCCUCCUGCAUCAACUUCUGCAACCCAGGUUUCAAUUCCUUGUUACAGAACUCCUCAUACUCCCCUUUAUCUCCU